rnacentral:rRNA from 1 species
AGUGAACGCUGGCGGUAGGCCUAACACAUGCAAGUCGAACGGCAGCACAGUAAGAGCUUGCUCUUACGGGUGGCGAGUGGCGGACGGGUGAGGAAUACAUCGGAAUCUACUUUUUCGUGGGGGAUAACGUAGGGAAACUUACGCUAAUACCGCAUACGACCUACGGGUGAAAGCAGGGGAUCUCCGGACCUUGCGCGAUUGAAUGAGCCGAUGUCGGAUUAGCUAGUUGGCGGGGUAAAGGCCCACCAGGGCGACGAUCCGUAGCUGGUCUGAGAGGAUGAUCAGCCACACUGGAACUGAGACACGGUCCAGACUCCUACGGGAGGCAGCAGUGGGGAAUAUUGGACAAAGGGCGCAAGCCUGAUCCAGCCAUACCGCGUGGGUGAAGAAGGCCUUCGGGUUGUAAAGCCCUUUUGUUGGGAAAGAAAAGCAGCAGGUUAAUACCCCGCUGUUCUGACGGUACCCAAAGAAUAAGCACCGGCUAACUUCGUG